rnacentral:misc_RNA from 1 species
AGCAUGGCUGAGAAAAUGCUUGCAAAUGAGAUUAAAGAAGGUGAUUCAGUUAUCGUGGACGUUGAUUCAGAUGGCAAUGUGACUGUCCUCAAUGGAAGUAGUGGUACUCCCUCGGAUCCGGCUCCUGAGCCUAUCCCCGUUUAGAUCAGGUGAUCACAUUUUAGCUCAACAGUCUCUGUGUGGUCUUUUAAGAGUUCAUUUGUGUUGGCCACUAAGCUUUGUGGGGCUUAUGAAGCAACUUUUGAGUUUAUCUCUGGGAAUGCUCAGGUAAAUCUUGCCACGUCGAGAAGGCAGCAUCCUUUCUAUGUUGAUCUUUAAUGAUUUUACAGAAGUAUACUGGAUUAAGAUUGUAGUUGGUCACAAGAAAGUAUUGUAUUAACAAGACACUCCUUAUCAAAAAACAUAUCUAGUUUAUUGUAGGCGACAGUUGAAUCGUUAUCCUCGUAUUGCUCAUCUAAUGUAGUUAUCUGCGCUUACCUCUUUUCUCAUUA